rnacentral:misc_RNA from 1 species
CCAAUAGCGUAUAUUAAAGUUGUUGCAGUUAAAAAGCUCGUAGUUGAAUUUCGGGAUCAAGGGAUCGGUCAUGCCUUGGUAUGUACUGGUUUUAUUGGUUCUCACCUUCUAAAGAACCAUAAUGUCAUUUAUUUGAUGUUAUGGGGAAUUAGGACUGUUACCUUGAAAAAAUUAGAGUGUUUAAAGCAAGCUUACGCUUGAAUACAUUGGCAUGGAAUAAUGAAAUAGGACAUCAGAUUCUAUUUUGUUGGUUUCUAGGAUCGAUGUAAUGAUUAAUAGGGAUAGUUGGUGGCAUUAGUAUUCAAUUGUCAGAGGUGAAAUUCUUGGAUUUAUUGAAGACUAACUACUGCGAAAGAAUUUGCCAAGGAUGUUUUCAUUAAUCAAGAACGAAAGUUAGGGGAUCGAAGACGAUCAGAUACCGUCGUAGUCUUAACCAUAUACUAUGCCGACUAGGGAUCGGAUGAUGUUAAUUUUUUAAUGACUCAUUCGGCACCUUACG